UGAGUAAUGUCUGGGAAACUGCCCGAUGGAGGGGGAUAACUACUGGAAACGGUAGCUAAUACCGCAUAACGUCGCAAGACCAAAGAGGGGGACCUUCGGGCCUCUUGCCAUCGGAUGUGCCCAGAUGGGAUUAGCUAGUAGGUGGGGUAACGGCUCACCUAGGCGACGAUCCCUAGCUGGUCUGAGAGGAUGACCAGCCACACUGGAACUGAGACACGGUCCAGACUCCUACGGGAGGCAGCAGUGGGGAAUAUUGCACAAUGGGCGCAAGCCUGAUGCAGCCAUGCCGCGUGUAUGAAGAAGGCCUUCGGGUUGUAAAGUACUUUCAGCGGGGAGGAAGGCGAUACGGUUAAUAACCGUGUCGAUUGACGUUACCCGCAGAAGAAGCACCGGCUAACUCCGUGCCAGCAGCCGC
rnacentral:rRNA from 1 species